AGUCGAGCGGUAGCACAGAGAGCUUGCUCUCGGGUGACGAGCGGCGGACGGGUGAGUAAUGUCUGGGAAACUGCCUGAUGGAGGGGGAUAACUACUGGAAACGGUAGCUAAUACCGCAUAACGUCGCAAGACCAAAGAGGGGGACCUUCGGGCCUCAUGCCAUCGGAUGUGCCCAGAUGGGAUUAGCUAGUAGGUGGGGUAACGGCUCACCUAGGUGACGAUCCCUAGCUGGUCUGAGAGGAUGACCAGCCACACUGGAACUGAGACACGGUCCAGACUCCUACGGGAGGCAGCAGUGGGGAAUAUUGCACAAUGGGCGCAAGCCUGAUGCAGCCAUGCCGCGUGUAUGAAGAAGGCCUUCGGGUUGUAAAGUACUUUCAGCGAGGAGGAAGGCGAUGAGGUUAAUAACCUCAUCGAUUGACGUUACUCGCAGAAGAAGCACCGGCUAUCUCCGUGCCAGCAGCCGCGGUAAUACGGAGGGUGCAAGCGUUAAUCGGAAUUACUGGGCGUAAAGCGCACGCAGGCGGUCUGUCAAGUCGGAUGUGAAAUCCCCGGGCUCAACCUGGGAACUGCAUCCGAAACUGGCAGGCUAGAGUCUUGUAGAGGGGGGUAGAAUUCCAGGUGUAGCGGCGAAAUGCGUAGAGAUCUGGA
rnacentral:rRNA from 1 species